rnacentral:rRNA from 1 species
GACGGAGGAUGCAAGUGUUAUCCGGAAUCACUGGGCGUAAAGCGUCUGUAGGUGGUUUAAUAAGUCAACUGUUAAAUCUUGAGGCUCAACCUCAAAAUCGCAGUCGAAACUAUUAGGCUAGAGUAUAGUAGGGGUAAAGGGAAUUUCCAGUGGAGCGGUGAAAUGACGUAGAGAUUGGAAAGAACGCCGAUGGCGAAGGCACUUUACUGGGCUAUUACUAACACUCAGAGACGAAAGCUAGGGUAGC